rnacentral:lncRNA from 1 species
UUACAUUAAUAUUCUUUAUAAUAAUGUCAUUCAUUAGGCGCAUUAAAGCCUAUUCUUAUGUAACUGUCACUUUUAGCACUAUAUAUAGAGCCUCACAAUUCAUUUGGGAGGACUCUUCUCUCCCCCUCCAAGCUAACACAUUCUCAACUUGAGAGCUUCUCUCUCUAAAUUCUCUCUCUAAUUAUCUUGUACUCUCUAAGUCUCUUUAAGUCUCUUCUUAUUGUCUUCCACCUGCCACAGCACUUAGUACUUCAGGAAUUGCUUCA